GUAGUCAUAUGCUUGUCUCAAAGAUUAAGCCAUGCAUGUCUAAGUAUAAAUAACUUUAUAUUGUGAAACUGCGAAUGGCUCAUUAAAUCAGUUAUGAUCUACGUGACAAAUUCUUUACUACUUGGAUAACCGUGGUAAUUCUAGAGCUAAUACAUGCAAAAAAGCCCUGACUUACGAAGGGGUGCACUUAUUAGAUAAAACCAACGCGGGGUAAGACCUGUUUCUUGGUGAAUCAUAAUAAUUAAGCGGAUCGCAUGGCCUUGUGCCGGCGACGGUCCACUCGAUUUUCUGCCCUAUCAUGGUUGAGAUUGUAAGAUAGAGGCUUACAAUGCCUACAACGGGUAACGGGGAAU
rnacentral:rRNA from 1 species